ensembl:lncRNA
AGAACUGAGACUUGAAUAGAUCAGAAUUGUGUUUUUGUUUUUUUUUUUUUUUCCCCAUGUAAUGUUUUCAAAGUGUUUACUUGCGUUUCUUAUUAUCAUAUGCAUAGCUACAUAGCUGCCACUAUUUCUGAUGUUGGAAGUCAGCAUCUUGUUUAUUUAUUAGAAAUUCUGGUAACCCCUGGAAGUUUACUCUGAAGUGAAGGGGACUGUUAUUACCCCAGGCUUCCAUUCAUGGAUACUUCAGUCGUGCCAUUUGAGGCUGUGUCAUGCUUAGAUAUUUUUUUAUUACACAAGAUGCAAGAAAAGAAAAAGAUGGAGUUCUUCAAGCACACUUCUGGAUCUAGAAGAUAUCCACCUUAUUCUACUGAGUAUCUGAGUCUCUUGUUAAACGUUCUCUUCCAGGGCACCCGGGUCCUUCUCUUUGGGGCUGCUUCCUGAGAGGUCACCCCCAAGUCUGUACCGGUGAUGUCACUGUCUUCCCAGUUUGUACUAGAGCCAGCUGGUUGGUUUGGAGGUAAGAUUCUGAGAGAGCCAACUAUUGGUUUCAUUUUGAUAAACAACCUAUUAUACAUCGUGUGCUAAUUGUAACAGAGCUCUCUUGCUGCCUGUCCCCGCACAUGCUUCUCAGAGCUGCACACCACUGCUCGCUGCAACUGGUCUCGCAGAGCACAGCAGCUGGUGCUGCGAACAAAGAGGGUAUUGAGGCUUUCUGAUGGUGGGCACUGCUCUGCUGUCUGUGCUGAGAGAGCCGCAGGAUGAUUCAGUGUUUGUUGAUCCCCCCAUUGCUCUCUGCUCCCUGUCCUGAGGUUGAACCCCAGAUCUGAAGGCUGACCCCUCAAAAAGCCCCGGGACAGCUGCUGGUCCUAGCUCUGUGCUGUUAGAACAGCACGGGCUAAAGCCAGCCUCCAAAAAUCACUGAUGGAGGAUCGUGUGCAUGUCCAUGGGGACGUACACACCCAUAUAUCUUAUCUCUCCCUGUACAGGCAAAGCACGAGGACAGGGAGCAGUGAAAGCUGGGAGCACAGUUCCCCCUCUGAGCAGAACACAGACUGCUCUUGGCUUGCCCAUGCCAUUUUGUUAUGUUUUGUUUCCCCUCAUCUAACCCCUUACAAAAAAAAAAAAUUACUGAAGAGCUCAAAAUCCUAGGGGCAAGCUGUUCUGCUCACUGCUUUGUUGCAGCCCAUGUUUGCCUGUGUGCAGUGAGCUCAGUGCCUGAGCUGUGCACAGAACAUGACAGACCUCAGAGCUGUACAAUGCUGAGAUCAUCUCAGGGAUGCAAAAAUAACAGCCAGGCAGCAGAAAUCUCUGACAGUCAAUACAUAACCAAACUGGUGGAGGGAGAGUGUACAUGGAUGCUGUAUGUAAAAUAUAAUGUAUUGUGUUUUUUGUUUUAAGCCAGAUAGGCAGUUUCCAUGGACACCCAUUUUUGCCUUAUAGUAUGUUUCUUUUUAUUAAAUAUGCAUAACCAGGCUUGUAC